CCUACGGGUGGCAGCAGUGGGGAAUAUUGGACAAUGGGCGAAAGCCUGAUCCAGCCAUGCCGCGUGUGUGAAGAAGGCCUUCGGGUUGUAAAGCACUUUCAGUGGGGAAGAAAGCCUUGGGGCUAAUACCCUCGAGGAAGGACAUCACCCACAGAAGAAGCACCGGCUAACUCCGUGCCAGCAGCCGCGGUAAUACGGAGGGUGCGAGCGUUAAUCGGAAUUACUGGGCGUAAAGCGCGCGUAGGCGGUCUGAUAAGCCGGUUGUGAAAGCCCCGGGAUCAACCUGGGAACGGCAUCCGGAACUGUCAGGCUAGAGUGCAGGAGAGGAAGGUAGAAUUCCCGGUGUAGCGGUGAAAUGCGUAGAGAUCGGGAGGAAUACCAGUGGCGAAGGCGGCCUUCUGGACUGACACUGACGCUGAGGUGCGAAAGCGUGGGUAGCAAACAGGAUUAGAUACCCUGGUAGUC
rnacentral:rRNA from 1 species